AUGUCAGAACUGUGGAGCUUGUCAUUUUGCAUGUCAGGAGUUCUUUUUAUAACCUUCCUCUCCCUGGAGAUCGCAAGCUCCUCAUCAGUCAGUCAUCAGAUGUCUCCUGAUCUCAUCCAUCCUCCACAGACCAGGAGCAGAGCACAGAGACACAGACAUCAGCUCAACUCGACACGAACACAGACAGAUCUGAAAGGACCCAACGUUUGUGGCAGCAGGUGCUGUUAUUCAUGGCUGGUCAACCCUAAGACCAAACAAUGCACAAAGCGUGAGUAUCUUUUCAGGACCAUUCAGAUUCAGCUUUUAUACAUUUAUCUACAUCGGAAGACACACAUACACAGCUGCCAGUUUUUAAUCGAGUUCAAAUCCUCUUCAUUUGUCUGAUUUUUCAAAUGAAGCAAUGAACUGAAGUGUCAGCACAGCUGGGAGCUGUAACAACAUAAUAAACAGAAGAGAAGGGGAAAAAUGUGAUUUCGCAAUCUGUUUGAUUUGAAGGCCCCCUACUGUCCAACACAAUAUUCAAAGGAGAAACACUCGCGCAGAUGAUGAAGUCUAUUGAUGAAGAUUGUUCAGCUUGCAUGUUCCUAUACAACAGACACAUUUAAUGAAACGUAACUCAAUUUUCAAUUUAAUGUUUAAAAGAUUGCGGCUGUACACAGUGUUCAUUGUUCCAAUCUGCAGCAGUUAUUUGUUCAGCUAGGUAGUUGAAAAAAAUGGUUACAUCUUUCUUUGUUUUAUUGAUUGAUUUUAUUAGGCUUAUGUGUGUUAGCUACUGUAUAUAAUAUGUAUAUUACGAUCAUGCAUCUUACUUUCACCAGUAAAAAUGUCCUUAAAGGGGGGGUAAAAUGCUCAUUUUCACUCAAUAUCCUGUUAAUCUUGAGUACCUAUAGAGUAGUACUGCAUCCUUCAUAACUCCAAAAAGUCUUUAGUUUUAUUAUAUUCAUAAGAGAAAGAUAGUCUGUACCGAUUUUUCCCGGAAAAACACGACCGACUGGAGGCGUGACGUGUGGGCGGAGCUAAAGAAUCACGAGCGCCAGUAGGCUUUUGCGUUGAGAGCGUUUGGAAGCUGACAUUACCUUGAGGAAAAAACCAUCAUCCACAACAAACCAUGGCUAACAGUCAGAUUCAGCGUUUAUUUAUGAUCCAGAAUCAGAUCCCGAGGCUGAAACUGAACGAGAGCAGCAGCAGCAACGACUCGCUCCGAGCAGGGCUCGAACCCGGGUCUCCGAUGGGAGGCGGACACAGAGAUAUUUGAAGCAGUUUUACUCACUGCCUGCGGUUCCAACACACGAUCGUGACCCUUUUUCGUUGGCAUUGCAUCAUCCUUAAGAAAUAAACGAUGCACAAAUCCGGCGUCAAACUGGGUCUUGUUUGUAAAACAAGCAUCUUCAAAAUGCAGGGAACAAACACAAACACUUGCACAACUCCGUUGAUGCUCUGUAAAAAUAAACUCCAUCCACUGGUCCCUUAAUGCUGUUUCUCUUUUGGUAAUCUGUGCAGGGUUGUCUUGCCCUGGAAACCAAAAACACACUUCUUUUGUGACAUUUGGUGACGCUCUCGCUCUGAUCAGUGAAUGUUGUGCUCUCAGUGCUCUGCUAUACGGGAGCGCGCUCUUCCGGCAGAAGUGCCUCAGGACCCAUAUAAGGAAAUUCCGCUUCAUCUAACGUCACACAGAGCCAUACUCGAAAAAAACUUUCCGAAACUUGUGACAAACCGGAAGGAGUAUUUUUGGAACAGAAAUACUCCUUCAAACGUAAAACUUAAUUUUUGAAACUUUGUCCAUGUUUAGCAUGGGAAUCCAACUCUUUAACAGUGUAAAAAACUCAGUAUGCAUGAAAUAGCAUUUCACCCCCCUUUAAUCCAGUACCUCAGCUUUCUUUUCUCUUCCUAAUCCGUAUAUAGCUAGAUUUACCAACUAAUAUCUAACCCUUUUAAAGGGCCAGCAAAACUUAAAAUAGGGCCAAUUUUUCGACUAGAAAUUUAGAAAAAUCACACUCUGGGUUUUAAUCUGGAAAAUAGUCUAGUUGUGGAAAAGCAUUAACAGUUUCUCUGUUGUUCUCACAAUAGCAAGAUGUCAUCCACGAUGCCAUAAUAAAGCAGUUUGUCGCCGGUUGAACAUUUGUCAGUGUCGUUCAGGCUUCCAUGGCCAUCGCUGUGAACACGCUAAUGUCACGCCAACCAUGAGCACCUGGUUUGAAGCUCAUCCUGGUCCCACGCUACCCUCAACUGCCACCACGGCAACAGUUACCAUGCCGACACUCGCAUCCAGCACCAUCCACGGCAACUCCUCCGAAUCUGCCUCCAGAGAUACUAGUCCAGAUGCAAAACAGACAUACUCAUUACGCUGGCAGCCAUCCAGGUGAGUGAACUCCUGAUAACUGAGACUGGUGUGCUGUAAAGCACAUGCAUGGCUAUAUUAUAAUAAAUACUCACAGGUCACACUGGUAAUGGAAAGCAGUUGGGGGUUUGGUUCCUUGCUCAAGGGCACCACAGUCGUGUUAUUGAGGAAUGGAAGAGAGCGCUGGUUAUUCCCUCCCCACACCUGCAAUCCAUGCUUGUACCGAGACUUAAACACACAACUUUUGGUUACAAAUCCAACUCUCUAACCAUUAGGCCACAAUUACCCCCAGAAUCCCAAGGGAGAGCGCUAACACAUUUCCCCAAUUCUAUUAAUUAUGCAGUCGAGACUCCUACUUUUGGGGAAUUCUCAGGAGUCCGUACACCUGGAGAACCGAGCCAUGGGUGAACCGCUGUCCUGACCAUAGUGUCUCCCCGGCCAGGUCUUGUUAAAGUAUUGUAUCAAAUUUAGAAAUUCCAGUAUCAUGACAACAUUAGUAAGGUAAGAAAUACAUUAUUUACCUAAAUAAAAAUGAAUAGAGCUAAACAAACAAACAAACAAAAAAUCUUUGCAAUGUAGCAUUUUUCAAAUUAAUUAAAAUAUAGGUAGGAAGAAUAAUGGCAGAAUUUAAUUUCAGAAAGGAUUUAUUCAUACCACUUUGUUUACAUUCCAUAAAAAAAAAAAAAAAAAAAAAAAAAAAUUGUAUGUGUGUGCUGUGAGGACGUGCCUACAGGGGGCACUCUAAUACCCCUAAUCCAUAUCUAAACUGUAAAUAAAUACCCAUCUGUCAGUACUGUGCAUGUGGCUGCAUGGGACUUUCAAUCAUGACAAUGUCCAAAUGGGCUGUAUGCAAAAGAGCAGUUUGGGAACAACAUAAGUG
ensembl:lncRNA